rnacentral:rRNA from 1 species
CCUACGGGAGGCAGCAGUGGGGAAUAUUGCACAAUGGGGGAAACCCUGAUGCAGCGACGCCGCGUGAGUGAAGAAGUAUUUCGGUACGUAAAGCUCUAUCAGCAGGGAAGAAAAUGACGGUACCUGACUAAGAAGCCCCGGCUAACUACGUGCCAGCAUCCGCGGUAAUACGUAGGGGGCAAGCGUUAUCCGGAUUUACUGGGUGUAAAGGGAGCGUAGACGGCAGCGCAAGUCUGGAGUGAAAUCCCAUGGCUUAACCAUGGAACUGCUUUGGAAACUGUGCAGCUAGAGUGCAGGAGAGGUAAGCGGAAUUCCUAGUGUAGCGGUGAAAUGCGUAGAUAUUAAGAGGAACACCAGUGGCGAAGGCGGCUUACUGGACUGUAACUGACGUUGAGGCUCGAAAGCGUGGGGAGCAAACAGGAUUAGAUACCCCUGUAGUC